GGUGUAGGUGGUGAGAUCAGUCGGAUGUGAAAUCCCAGGGCCCAACCCUGGAACUGCAUUCGAAACUGUCUCACUAGAGUCCCGGAGGGGAAGGCGGAAUUCCCGGUGUAGAGGUGAAAUUCGUAGAUAUCGGGAGGAACACCAGUGGCGAAGGCGGCCUUCUGGACGGUGACUGACACUCAGACCCGAAAGCGUGGGGAGCAAACAGGAUUAGAUACCCUGGUAGUCC
rnacentral:rRNA from 1 species